ACGAAAAAAGAUGUACACAAAAACCUUGGGUAUACCCAAGUGGGGGACAGAUGCCACAAAACUCCCAAUCUCAAGUGAGAUAGGCAGGGGCGGGUGAGUGGGGAGGGAAACCUUUAGAGAAGGUACCCCAAAAAACUAUCAAUUACAUUGCCUUUACAAAAUUACAAAGGAAUACAAGUACUAGGCAAGUAAGUAUUAACAAAUUUCAUAUUUCAAUGGAUCAUGCUUGUAGUGGUCAAUGAUCAUUUCUGUUUCGGGGUUUAGGCUAUCCUCUAGCUUAGAUUUGAGGCCGAACUUUGCAGCAUUGCUCAGCGAAACUGACAGCAGCAGCACACCAAGGAAAAUGCAGCAAAAAAUAGCAUCAAGUCCAGCAGCAGCAGGUAACAGGUACAGUUCAGGUGGCCAACAAAAGUCUCAAGAUUGCCAAAGGCCAACAAGGCAACCGGUACACUUGGAUAGCAUCGCAUUCAUCAGCAGCAGAGGAGUUGGAUCAGUGGAUGUGUGGUGUUCAGCAAAGGCCACUGGUUGAAAUUCUCCAAAACCUCCAGGAAACGAGCUGGAGCCCCUGUGAAGCAUAGCAGCACAAGAUCAAAAGCAGUAUUAAGACUUCAGCGUUUUCGACUAAGCAGUAGUAAGACCAUACUGUACUCGAACUGCUGUACAAUCCUUCCAAAGAGUGAGGUUAAUGGAGUAGAACUUUGAAAUCUUCAUGUGGCAAGGUGAUGAGCAACCGCCAUUGCUGUUUUUCUGUUGUUCAAUACCACCUCCCCUUGACGGUUUUCCGCAAAACAGAACCAGGCUGCAAGUUCUUGAAUUUGCCUAGGCCUCCCUUGUUUCUUGUGUUUACCAACAGUUUUGAGAUCAUCUAAAGGAAGUAGACAAGCAACAACAGGAGGAAAAGGAUUGAAAGCAUUGGCAAUUCUAGGCAAUAAUCAAAUUUCAGAGGGAUAGCAGCUCCAUUCCAUUCGAGAUGGGCACGUACAACCUCAGGGGGAUAUAUUUCGUUUAAGCACCGAUAAAUAUCGCAUUGUAUGUUAUAGGUUAUCUUACUUUCCACAAAAGGUUCUUUCUCAAAAAUAAGUUUAUUUCUUGCAAACCAAAUGUGGUUAACUGCCAUCGCAAGUGUUAGGAUUUUCGCCUUCUGGAGAAUGGCAGAUCCUUUUUUCUUUUGCAUGAGAUACUUGAUGGCACUCGGGAUUGUGGUCAUUUGUUGUCUAAUGUGCAACCACUCUCUGAGGGUAUCCCAAACCUUCUUUGUACCUACACAUUUAAAGAAAAGAUGCUCAUGAGUUUCAUUCAAAGUGUUGCAAAUGGAACACAAUUUGGAAAUUCCCUCUAAUCUAUCCACAGUCUUAAGCCUAGCUUGUAAAGCUAGCCAAAGGGUGAUAGAACAUCUUGGUGGGACGAAGCUUUUCCAAAUUGCCUUAUGCCAGUAGAGUUUUUCUCCUUUUUUUCGAAAGCAUUCGUAUGCUUCCGCCACCAGAUUUUUUCCUGCCCACUCUGCAAGUUGUUGUUGGGCAGUUUGAAUUUGCUUUUCAUUUUGUUCCACAAGCAGGUCUCUGACAUGGACAAGAUUUUUGAGCAGUGGGGAG